rnacentral:rRNA from 1 species
GACGAACGCUGGCGGCGUGCUUAACACAUGCAAGUCGAACGGAAAGGCCCUGCUUUUGUGGGGUUCUCGAUUGGCGAACGGGUGAGUAACACGUGAGUAACCUGCCCUUGACUUUGGGAUAACUUCAGGAAACUGGGGCUAAUACCGGAUAGGAGCUCCUGCUGCAUGGUGGGGGUUGGAAAGUUUCGGCGGUUGGGGAUGGACUCGCGGCUUAUCAGCUUGUUGGUGGGGUAGUUGCUUACCAAGGGUUUGACGGGUAGCCGGCCUGAGAGGGUGACCGGGGACAAUGGGACUGAGAUAGGGCGCAGAAUGCAACGGGAGGCAGCAGUGGGGAAUAUUGCAGAAUGGGCGGAAGCCUGAGGCAGAAACGCCGGGAGCGGGAUGACGGGCUACGGGUGGUAAACAGAUUUGGAAUGUGACGAAGAGAGAGUGACGGUAAUGGGUAAAGAAGCACCGGCUAACUACGUG